CAGGCUAAGAGUUUUCUGAAAACCGAGAUGCCAAAUAGCCAGCCUUGAUGAAAGCUGCGGGUUUUCUUUGGUCUCCCGAGGACUCACAAAUAGAGGUUUCAGGCACACCGCUGCCCUCAGCUUUGGAGAAUUGCAACUCGUCUUAGCUGAAUCAUGGCUGGAACCCAAUCGCAACCAGUUCUCUUUGUAAAAAUUCAAAUUUAUUGGAGACCAUAGAACUCAUCCAACUGAAAUGGACCAACUCUAAUUUCCUCAUACUGAGUGCUGGAAACCUUCCUUCCCGUCCUCCCCUCAGCCGAUCAUCUUUUCUGG